CAUAUGGAAUAUCCACUCGUGACUUUCAAGUCUACUACUAAGGUGACCCCUAGGGUAAAUCUCUAGGUAAGGCUCAUUGUAAUAUUUAGGGUAAGGGUAUGUAAAUCAACUUUCCCUUGAUUUAAGAGAGGAGACUGAUUGGGGUAAUGUCUUUGUGUAAGGUUUAGAUUAGGUAGGCAACAUGCCUUCUUCUUUCUUGUCAGCUGCUUGCUGUAGCCAUCCUUCCCAUCUAUUUUCCCUCUCUCCUCUCAUAUAUACCUAAUCUCACUCUUGUACAAUACAUACAUGAAAUAUACAUUGAAACUUUAAACCAGAAAAUCUACAUUUUUCAUGACAACACUUUAUAAAUAUUUGUUUUUCGUUUCCAGAAACAGAGUUUGAUUUUUUUGCAAAAAAGACACGUGGAAAGUUAUCUGGGAAACGCCUCCAUGAUAUUUUAAAGGCCAAUAACGAGAAGAAUAUGCUAGUCAUCUUUGAUUUGAAGCAGCAGGUACCAAUUUAUGCAGGUGUGUCAGGUUUUUUCACUUUUGAAAUAGGGAUUCUUGUUCGAAGUGAUGCACUGGUGUGUUACAAGAGAUGGAUGAAGGUUCCAGCUAUGGCUAAGGAAAAAUUGCGGGAGUCAUUGCUAAUACUGUUUGAGGUAGACUUGUGCAAUUCGAAUAUUCUUGCUUAUAUGAAUAAGAAGAUGGGGAAGUUGUACUCCUAGUUUAGGUUUCGGUGGCAUGAGCACUACUUAUCAUGUGAAACACCUACGAGAGGACGAGCUAAGCUGCCUGAGAAGUCACUAUGGAAUGAGAGAUUAGUGAGUCAUUGGCACUAGCUAUGUGAUAAUAUUUACACUAGUGAAGUCGUUUUGGUAUGUUUCUGUAGAACAUUUUCUUAUUUAUGCUAUCUUGCUGUAGCACUUUGCCAUGUUUCUUAUUUAUGCUUUUUGGUAUGUUUCUGUAGAACAUUUUCUUUAUUUUUUGUUAAUUUUUUUUCCUACAAAUCAUAGUCUACAAUAUGAUUUCUUACUAUAUUAAAAAAGAUCAACACAUGAGCUUCUUAGAAAUGUAAAGAAAAUAAUAAAAACAAAAUAAAUCCACUACCUCAAAUUCACACUGUGGUAAUUAAAUUCUUUUAACGUACUUAGAAAAUGAUCCAUGAAUAUUAUGAGCCUUUUCAGUAAUUUCAAUGACUUCUCAACUCCAUGUCAGUUUGAGAUCAAAUUUUUACACAUUGCAAAUCAUGCCAUAUAUUCGUGAACAUGACCAAAAGAGUGACGUGAUGAUAAAUACUUUAGAACCACUCAUGGAUUCAAGGUGUUUCAUUUUCUUCUUAUUUAUAAUGUUGCUACAAGUAGUCCUCAUAAUGGCAUUCUAAUGUAGGAUGUUUCCAAGAAAAAUGCUGAUAAUCAAAAGAAACAAAAGUAUCAUCACAAGGGAAGGGCAGGGCCAUCAUCCAACAUGCUAGGAAUGCUCACAAGAAAGGAGAACCAUUUUCUGUGAUUGACAAUUAGGGGGCUCUCCACAAAGACAAGAAUGGCCAAUGGAUAAAUGAUAUUGCUCAAGAGAAAUAUGCAAGUCACUUUUGACACACCCCGACCUGGAAGACGUACUAGGACUCCG